GAGCAGGUGACUUCAUGCAUGAUCCCACUUCGUUGAUCACCAUUGUCGCUUUAAUUUUGGCCAGGGUGAAAAUUUUAUUUAGAAAUGUCAUUAGCUGGUUUCUAUUGUGGAGGGUUACCUGUGGUCAGGCAUAUGGAAUCUGUAGUAUCGCGGUAGAUGGCAAUGAUACAGCUGUUUUGUACAGAGCAAAUCACAUAGCCUGAGAAAUGGCUAUAACUGAAGGAAGGAUUAUUUUGAUCAAGGUAACAGGAUCAAACAGGAAACUGCAGUUGUACCAAGAUUAAUUAGGUAACAAGAUCAAACAGGAAUAGCAUAAUUGUGUAAGCCCACAGUACAAACUUGUGGGCGACAGUAAAUUGGAAAUGACAUCGUAGCUAGGAUUCAUAUCUGGGAGAAAAAACAAGGACAUGAGAAUCUGCAAAAUAGUUACAUGUUUGCGUGUGUGGCUCUUACUUCUGGACCGUGUCCAAUGGCAUUCCUAGAAUAUGCAUUUCUGGGCAAUUAGUAGAAGCAGUGUAGCAUUCCAACAGUCCAUCUAUCUUAUUUUCUAGCAUUUACCAAUAUCUUUUUAUUUUAGGUAUUUCAUAUAUGGACAGAUAAGCAAGACUAAAUAUUAUGUAAAUAUAAUGCAUUUAACUCUCCCAUGGCUGAACUCUAUGUGUGGCCUACUGACCUGCGAUGGUUCAGACAUGUAAUGGAUCCACUGUGGCUGCAUUAUCAAGCUAAUAUGUCAUAUGUUUACAACAGAAUUUUUUUACCAUGGUAUUCUAUCAGUUUUGUUGGUCUGAAGAAUACAAAAGUUUUCUUAUAAUUAUUGUUCCUUUCCCAGUUUUUGUUUGGAGGAAGUUUCUGUCAGUUGUUUUUUGGUCUGAAGAGUACAUGUAAACAUAAAAGAGUACUUCGCAGCCUAAGAAACUGGGAAAUCGUCCACGGGGGAGCUGGCCAGCGUGAAGCUACCAUAGGCUUUUUUCCAGGCCAUCAAUGUCUAAUCCAUUGCGAUUAUUUCUGGUCAAAGCCAGAGUUCCAGUGCGGUGAUCAAUUGGAGUAGCUACUCACAUGAUUGAAGCAAAACAAUUUUGAGAAUGGUGUGUAGCAUAUGAUUCAUAAAUUAUGUGUUCUGAGAUUUUAGUUUCUUUUGAUAGGUGUAGAUGGUCAUUAAUUUACCAACUCGGUGCAGUUUUUAGGGUAAUCUCUUAAGAGAGAUUCACAUCUGACAAAGAGCCUAUAGCAUAGUUGUGUCUACUGGAUGGAUGAAAAACUUUUGUUUGAAAUAAGUUAGAAAUAGAAUUGGGUUACGCUGAAAGA